rnacentral:lncRNA from 1 species
CAGGUUUCCCAGAGUCCUUGGGACGCAGCGACGAGUUGUGCUGUUACCUUAGCCGUCCUUAUAGGCUGGCCAUUCCAGGUGGCGGCGGAAGGUGAUCGAAUUCCGGUGAUGCGAGUUGUUCUCCGUCUAUAAAUACGCCUCGCCCGAGCUGUGCGGCAGGCAGUGAGGCAGCCAGCGCAGGGGCUUCUGCUGAGGGCGCAGGCGGAGCUUGAGGAAACCGCAGAUAAGUUUUUUUCACUUUGAAAGAUAGAGAUUAAUACAACUACUUAAAAAAUAUAGUCAAUAGGUUACUAAGAUAUUGCUUAGCGUUAAGCUUUUAACGUAAUUUUAAUAGCUUAAGAUUUUAAGAGAAAAUAUGAAGACUUAGAAGAGUAGCAUGACGAAGGAAAAGAUAAAAGAUUUCUAAAACAUGACGGAGGUUGAGAUGAAGCUUCUUCAUGGAGUAAAAAAUGUAUUUAAAAGAAAAUUGAGAGAAAGGACUACAGAGCCCUGAAUUAAUACCAAUAGAAGGGCAAUGCUUUUAGAUUAAAAUGAAGGUGACUUAAACAGCUUAAAGUUUACUUUAAAAGUUGUAGGUGAUUAAAAUAAUUUGAAGGCGAUCUUUUAAAAAGAGAUUAAACCGAAGGUGAUUAAAAGACCUUGAAAUCCAUGACGCAGGGAGAAUUGCGUCAUUUAAAGCCUAGUUAACGCAUUUAAACGCAGACGAAAAUGGAAAGAUUAGUUGGGAGUGGUAGGAUGAAACGAUUUGGAGAAGAUAGAAGUUUGAAGUGGAAAACUGGAAGACAGAAGUACAGGAAGGCGGAGAAAAGAAUAGAGAAGAUAGGGAAAUUAGAAGAUAAAAACAUACUUUUAGAAGAAAAAAGAUAAAUUUAAACCUGAAAAGUAGGAAGCAGAAGAAAAAAGACAAGCUAGGAAACAAAAAACUAAGGGCAAAAUGUACAAACUUAGAAGAAAAUUGGAAGAUAGAAACAAGAUAGAAAAUGAAAAUAUUGUCAAGAGUUUCAGAUAGAAAAUGAAAAACAAGCUAAGACAAGUAUUGGAGAAGUAUAGAAGAUAGAAAAAUAUAAAGCCAAAAAUUGGAUAAAAUAGCACUGAAAAAGUGAGGAAAUUAUUGGUAACCAAUUUAUUUUAAAAGCCCAUCAAUUUAAUUUCUGGUGGUGCAGAAGUUAGAAGGUAAAGCUUGAGAAGAUGAGGGUGUUUACGUAGACCAGAACCAAUUUAGAAGAAUACUUGAAGCUAGAAGGGGAAGUUGGUUAAAAAUCACAUCAAAAAAGGACUGGUGUAAUUUAAAAAAAAACUAAGGCAGAAGGCUUUUGGAAGAGUUAGAAGAAUUUGGAAGGCCUUAAAUAUAGUAGCUUAGUUUGAAAAAUGUGAAGGACUUUCGUAACGGAAGUAAUUCAAGAUCAAGAGUAAUUACCAACUUAAUGUUUUUGCAUUGGACUUUGAGUUAAGAUUAUUUUUUAAAUCCUGAGGACUAGCAUUAAUUGACAGCUGACCCAGGUGCUACACAGAAGUGGAUUCAGUGAAUCUAGGAAGACAGCAGCAGACAGGAUUCCGGGAACCAGUGUUUGAUGAAGCUAGGACUGAGGAGCAAGCGAGCAAGCAGCAGUUCGUGGUGAAGAUAGGAAAAGAGUCCAGGAGCCAGUGCGAUUUGGUGAAGGAAGCUAGGAAGAAGGAAGGAGCGCUAACGAUUUGGUGGUGAAGCUAGGAAAAAGGAUUCCAGAAAGGAGCGAGUGCGAUUUGGUGAUGAAGCUAGCAGGCGGCUUGGCUUGGCAACCACACGGAGGAGGCGAGCAGGCGUUGUGCGUAGAUAGAGGAUCCUAGACCAGCAUGCCAGUGUGCCAAGGCCACAGGGAAAACGAGUGGUUGGUAAAAAUCCGUGAGGUCGGCAAUAUGUUGUUUUUCUGGAACUUAUGGUAACCUUUUAUUUAUUUUCUAAUAUAAUGGGGGAGUUUCGUACUGAGGUGUAAAGGGAUUUAUAUGGGGAACGUAGGCCGAUUUCCGGGUGUUGUAGGUUUCUCUUUUUCAGGCUUAUACUCAUGAAUCUUGUCUGAAGCUUUUGAGGGCAGACUGCCAAGUCCUGGAGAAAUAGUAGAUGGCAAGUUUGUGGGUUUUUUUUUUUUUUUUUUUUUUUUUUACGAAUUUGAGGAAAACCAAAUGAAUUUGAUAGCCAAAUUGAGACAAUUUCAGCAAAUCUGUAAGCAGUUUGUAUGUUUAGUUGGGGUAAAUGAAGUAUUUCAGUUUUGUGAAUAGAUGACCUGUUUUUACUUCCUCACCCUGAAUUCGUUUUGUAAAUGUAGAGUUUGGAUGUGUAACUGAGGCGGGGGGGAGUUUUCAGUAUUUUUUUUUUGUGGGGGUGGGGGCAAAAUAUGUUUUCAGUUCUUUUUCCCUUAGGUCUGUCUAGAAUCCUAAAGGCAAAUGACUCAAGGUGUAACAGAAAACAAGAAAAUCCAAUAUCAGGAUAAUCAGACCACCACAGGUUUACAGUUUAUAGAAACUAGAGCAGUUCUCACGUUGAGGUCUGUGGAAGAGAUGUCCAUUGGAGAAAUGGCUGGUAGUUACUCUUUUUUCCCCCCACCCCCUUAAUCAGACUUUAAAAGUGCUUAACCCCUUAAACUUGUUAUUUUUUACUUGAAGCAUUUUGGGAUGGUCUUAACAGGGAAGAGAGAGGGUGGGGGAGAAAAUGUUUUUUUCUAAGAUUUUCCACAGAUGCUAUAGUACUAUUGACAAACUGGGUUAGAGAAGGAGUGUACCGCUGUGCUGUUGGCACGAACACCUUCAGGGACUGGAGCUGCUUUUAUCCUUGGAAGAGUAUUUCCAGUUGAAGCUGAAAAGUACAGCACAGUGCAGCUUUGGUUCAUAUUCAGUCAUCUCAGGAGAACUUCAGAAGAGCUUGAGUAGGCCAAAUGUUGAAGUUAAGUUUUCCAAUAAUGUGACUUCUUAAAAGUUUUAUUAAAGGGGAGGGGCAAAUAUUGGCAAUUAGUUGGCAGUGGCCUGUUACGGUUGGGAUUGGUGGGGUGGGUUUAGGUAAUUGUUUAGUUUAUGAUUGCAGAUAAACUCAUGCCAGAGAACUUAAAGUCUUAGAAUGGAAAAAGUAAAGAAAUAUCAACUUCCAAGUUGGCAAGUAACUCCCAAUGAUUUAGUUUUUUUCCCCCCAGUUUGAAUUGGGAAGCUGGGGGAAGUUAAAUAUGAGCCACUGGGUGUACCAGUGCAUUAAUUUGGGCAAGGAAAGUGUCAUAAUUUGAUACUGUAUCUGUUUUCCUUCAAAGUAUAGAGCUUUUGGGGAAGGAAAGUAUUGAACUGGGGGUUGGUCUGGCCUACUGGGCUGACAUUAAUUACAAUUAUGGGAAAUGCAAAAGUUGUUUGGAUAUGGUAGUGUGUGGUUCUCUUUUGGAAUUUUUUUCAGGUGAUUUAAUAAUAAUUUAAAACUACUAUAGAAACUUCAGAGCAAAGGAAGUGGCUUAAUGAUCCUGAAGGGAUUUCUUCUGAUGGUAGCUUUUGUAUUAUCAAACUUUUUUCAGAUAACAUCUUCUGAGUCAUAACCAGCCUGGCAGUAUGAUGGCCUAGAUGCAGAGAAAACAGCUCCUUGACAGGUAUCUCUUCGUUAUCAGAAGAGUUGCUUCAUUUCAUCUGGGAGCAGAAAACAGCAGGCAGCUGUUAACAGAUAAGUUUAACUUGCAUCUGCAGUAUUGCAUGUUAGGGAUAAGUGCUUAUUUUUAAGAGGUGUGGAGUUCUUAAAUAUCAACCAUGGCACUUUCUCCUGACCCCUUCCCUAGGGGAUUUCAGGAUUGAGAAAUUUUUCCAUCGAGCCUCUUUAAAAUUGUAGGACUUGUUCCUGUGGGCUUCAAUGAUGGGAUAGUACACUUCACUCAGAGGCAUUUGCAUCUUUAAAUAAUUUCUUAAAAGCCUCUAAAGUGAUCAGUGCCUUGAUGCCAACUAAGGAAAUUUGUUUAGCAUUGAAUCUCUGAAGGCUCUAUGAAAGGAAUAGCAUGAUGUGCUGUUAGAAUCAGAUGUUAUUGCUAAAAUUUACAUGUUGUGUUGUGAUGUAAAUUGUGUAGAAAACCAUUAAAUCAUUCAAAAUAAUAAACUAUUUUUAUUAGAGAAUGUAUACUUUUAGAAAGCUGUCUCCUUAUUUAAAUACAAUACUGUUUGUCUGUAGUUUAGUGUUGGGGCAAUCUUGGGGGGGAUUCUUCUCUAAUCUUUCAGAAACUUUGUCUGCGAACACUCUUUAAUGGACCAGAUCAGGAUUUGAGCGGAAGAACGAAUGUAACUUUAAGGCAGGAAAGACAAAUUUUAUUCUUCAUAAAGUGAUGAGCAUAUAAUAAUUCCAGGCACAUGGCAAUAGAGGCCCUCUAAAUAAGGAAUAAAUAACCUCUUAGACAGGUGGGAGAUUAUGAUCAGAGUAAAAGGUAAUUACACAUUUUAUUUCCAGAAAGUCAGGGGUCUAUAAAUUGACAGUGAUUAGAGUAAUACUUUUUCACAUUUCCAAAGUUUGCAUGUUAACUUUAAAUGCUUACAAUCUUAGAGUGGUAGGCAAUGUUUUACAUUAUUGACCUUAUAUAGGGAAGGGAGGGGGUGCCUGUGGGUUUUUAAAGAAUUUUCCUUUGCAGAGGCAUUUCAUCCUUCAUGAAGCUGUUCAGGAUUUUGAAUUGCAUAUGAGUGCUUGGCUCUUCCUUCUGUUCUCCUAACUUCACAGAGAAUGCAGUUGUCUUGACUUCAGGUCUGUCUGUUCUGUUGGCAAGUAAAUGCAGUACUGUUCUGAUCCCGCUGCUAUUAGAAUGCAUUGUGAAACGACUGGAGUAUGAUUAAAAGUUGUGUUCCCCAAUGCUUGGAGUAGUGAUUGUUGAAGGAAAAAAUCCAGCUGAGUGAUAAAGGCUGAGUGUUGAGGAAAUUUCUGCAGUUUUAAGCAGUCGUAUUUGUGAUUGAAGCUGAGUACAUUUUGCUGGUGUAUUUUUAGGUAAAAUGCUUUUUGUUCAUUUCUGGUGCUGGGAGGGGACUGAAGCCUUUAGUCUUUUCCAGAUGCAACCUUAAAAUCAGUGACAAGAAACAAAUUCCAAACAAGCAACAGUCUUCAAGAAAUUAAACUGGCAAGUGGAAAUGUUUAAACAGUUCAGUGAUCUUUAGUGCAUUGUUUUUGUGUGGGUUUCUCUCUCCCCUCCCUUGGUCUUAAUUCUUACAUGCAGGAACACUCAGCAGACACACGUAUGCGAAGGGCCAGAGAAGCCAGACCCAGUAAGAAAAAAUAGCCUAUUUACUUUAAAUAAACCAAACAUUCCAUUUUAAAUGUGGGGAUUGGGAACCACUAGUUCUUUCAGAUGGUAUUCUUCAGACUAUAGAAGGAGCUUCCAGUUGAAUUCACCAGUGGACAAAAUGAGGAAAACAGGUGAACAAGCUUUUUCUGUAUUUACAUACAAAGUCAGAUCAGUUAUGGGACAAUAGUA